GGACUACUGGGGUAUCUAAUCCCGUUCGCUCCCCUAGCUUUCGCACCUCAGCGUCAGAAACGAGCCAGGACACUGCCUUCGCCUUUGGUGUUCUUCCGGAUCUCUACGCAUUUCACCGCUCCACCCGGAGUUCCAUGUCCCUCUCUCGCUCUCAAGUCCGCCAGUUUUCGAAGUCCUUCACCAGUUAAGCUGGUGACUUUCACCCCGAACUUAGCAGACCGCCUGCGUGCCCUUUACGCCCAAUAAUUCCGGACAACGCUCGCCCCCUACGUAUUACCGCGGCUGCUGGCAC
rnacentral:rRNA from 1 species